UAAAAAUUAAACACCUAAAAAGAUUAUUAAACUUCUUCCAUGUAUAGCACAUUAGGCAAGCUAAUUGGAAAUUUGGAGGAAGUAAGCUAGAGAUUUUUCUAAAAUUUUACUAGUUUUCUCUGAAAGUUAAUAAUUUAAAUAUCAUUUAGCCAAAGUAUGUUACUACUAAAAGUGACUGUUCUAAGGCUGUUUGUAUGAAGUAUUAAAUAUAUGUUCUUUUCCUCAAGGCUUUAAUUAGUAUCUUUUGGCCUUUUUAUGCUUUUGUUAUUUGAUUAGCUUAAAUUUUUCUUUUCUGAGUGUUCAGUCAAGUUAUCUGUACUGACCAGAAGAGGAAUUUCAUCUUUUGCUUUCUAUUUAUUACUUGAACAUUACUUUAAAGUGACUUAUAAUUGGAGACUGACAAAUUUGUGUUUUCUUCAAACAGAUGAAAACUUUAUUCUCAAACAUGACAGAGCGUUCCUUUUGUCAAUGGCAAAUCGAGGGAAACAUACCAAUGGUUCCCAGUUUUUCAUAAAGAGUGUUACACCGUGCGCUCCAAAGUACCACAAAGCCUGCUCCGCACCUGGAUGGGGUGCAUGUUGUCUUUGGACUGGUUAUUUCUGGUUUUGAAGUAAUCGAACAAAUUGAAAAUCUGAAGACCGAUGCUGCAAGCAGACCAUAUGCAGAUGUGCGAGUUAUUGACUGUGGAGUACUUGCCACAAAAUCAAUAAAAGAUG
rnacentral:sRNA from 1 species